rnacentral:rRNA from 1 species
GGAGGGGCUCGCGGCCUAUCAGCUAGUUGGUGAGGUAAUGGCUCACCAAGGCGUCGACGGGUAGCCGGCCUGAGAGGGUGACCGGCCACACUGGGACUGAGACACGGCCCAGACUCCUACGGGAGGCAGCAGUGGGGAAUAUUGCACAAUGGGCGCAAGCCUGAUGCAGCAACGCCGCGUGAGGGACGACGGCCUUCGGGUUGUAAACCUCUUUUAGUAGGGAAGAAGCCUUCGGGUGACGGUACCUGCAGAAAAAGCGCCGGCUAACUACGUGCCAGCAGCCGCGG